AUCAUGGAGAGUUUGAUCCUGGCUCAGGACGAACGCUGGCGGCGUGCUUAACACAUGCACGGCGAACGAAAAGAGGGAAAGAGCUUGCUCUUUCCGGAAUUGAGUGGCAAACGGGUGAGUAACACGUAAACAACCUGCCUUCAGGAUGGGGACAACAGACGGAAACGACUGCUAAUACCGAAUAAGUUCCAAGGGCCGCAUGGCC
rnacentral:rRNA from 1 species